rnacentral:lncRNA from 1 species
GUUAAUUUGAGAAAAUCACUCCUUCCUGUUAACGUUGGCCAAGUGGGGAGGCAGCGCUGUGAUCAGGGGUAAAGAUGGUGGACUCUGGAUUGAGGUGCUUAGCAAACAAACCCAGGCUCGUCCACUUACAGCUGGGGACUCUGGCCCUCACCUGGCUUCACGUCUGACACAUCUCAAUGCCUGGGGCUUCCUCAACUGAAUCACCUGUCGGGGUUUUUAACUUACCCUCGUUAAGCCUCAGUUUCUUCACCUGAAAAUGGAGCUAAUCACUGUACUCAGCUGACUUGGUGGGUGUGCCCCAGGGACAUGGCACCAUAGUGGCUCACCAGCAUGUGGCUGGGUCUUUCUGACUUUCUAAUCACAGUGGCAGUGGUAGUUGCCUUAAUUCUGUGCUCAGACUACAGCUAGGCAUUGGACACCUGCCCAGGUCAGAUGCUCAGAGAGGCCCUGGAUACGGCAGUGCACAGAAUGUAGGGAAGCCCGUCUCAGCCGCACACACUC